rnacentral:pre_miRNA from 13 species
UUCUCGCUCUCAGUGUUCAUGGCGGAUCUUGAUUUAAUGUGGUACAAUUAAGGCACACGGUGAAUGCUAAGGGAGGGGCC